rnacentral:rRNA from 1 species
CAAGUCGAGGGAAUCCGCCGCAAGGCGGGGAACCGGCGUAAGGGGCAGUAAGGCAUGGGUACCUACCCCGGGGUUCGGAAUAGCCACCAGAGAUGGUGGGUAAUACCGGAUGACCUCGUGAGAGCAAAGAUUUAUCGCCCUGGGAGGGGCCCAUGUGAUAUUAGCUAGUUGGUGAGGUAACGGCUCACCAAGGCGAAGAUGUCUAGCGGGUGUGAGAGCACGACCCGCGCCACUCGCACUGAGACACUGGCGAGACACCUACGGGUGGCUGCAGUCGAGGAUCUUCGGCAAUGGGGGCAACCCUGACCGAGCGAUGCCGCGUGCGCGAUGAAGGCCUUCGGGUUGUAAAGCGCGAAAGAGGGGAGAAAAGCCCGAAAGGGUUUGAUCUAUCCUCAGUAAGCUCGGGCUAAGUUCGUGCCAGCAGCCGCGGUAAGACGAACCGAGCGAACGUUGUUCGGAAUCACUGGACUUAAAGGGCGCGUAGGCGGGCUGUCAAGUCUGGGGUGAAAUCCCGCGGCUCAACCGUGGAACUGCCUCAGAUACUGACGGCCUCGAGGGAGAUAGGGGCGAGCGGAACUAAUGGUGGAGCGGUGAAAUGCGUUGAUAUCAUUAGGAACUCCGGUGGCGAAGGCGGCUCGCUGGAUCUUUUCUGACGCUGAGGCGCGAAAGCUAGGGGAGCAAACGGGAUUAGAUACCCCGGUAGUCCUAGCCCUAAACGUUGGGUACUAGGUAGUAGGCUAGACAUGGGUUUACUGCCGAAGCAAAAGUGCUAAGUACCCCGCCUGGGGAGUAUGGUCGCAAGGCUGAAACUCAAAGGAAUUGAC